UACGGAGGAUGCAAGCGUUAUCCGGAAUCAUUGGGUUUAAAGGGUCCGUAGGCGGACAAAUAAGUCAGUGGUGAAAGUCUGCAGCUCAACUGUAGAAUUGCCAUUGAUACUGUUAGUCUUGAAUCACUAUGAAGUAGUUAGAAUGUGUAGUGUAGCGGUGAAAUGCAUAGAUAUUACACAGAAUACCGAUUGCGAAGGCAGAUUACUAGUAGUGUAUUGACGCUGAUGGACGAAAGCGUGGGUAGCGAACAGG
rnacentral:rRNA from 1 species